CUAAAUUAAAUAAUUUUUUGCGAUUUUUUAAAAAAAAAAAAAAUUUACAUUAAAAAAAUAGCGCCAUGUUAUAAAAUCCCCUCCCCUCCCGAAAUUCCCAUCUUCCCCCCUAAAAUCCCUAAUUUCCCCCCUUAAACCCCAACUUUACAAACAUACCGUCCUUUAAAACUUUUAACUCCAUGCCCAUUGCUAUCUUUUCUUCCUCUAUCUUUUCUUCCUCAACCCCAAUUCUUAAACGCCCAAAUUUGGAAAGCUAUUUUUUCUUUCUCUGCAGAACUUUUCUGGUACACAUUUUCGCAGGACGGGCAUAAUUUGGAAGACUCAAAGCAAAGCACUACUGAUAUGUCUGUUUCCGUGCAAAAUCUUCUUCAACAAAUGCAAUCUAGGUUUCAAACAAUGUCGGAGUCCAUCAUCAUAAAGAAUAUCCUUUUUGUAUGAAGAUCCUCAUCAUGGUGAGGCGAAAAGCACAAAUGAGAUGCAUAGAGAACGAUACG